CAGUAGCCGCGGGAAUACAGAGGGUGCAAGCGUUAAUCGGAAUUAUUGGGCGUAAAGGGUGCGUAGGUGGUCAUUUAAGUCAGAUGUGAAAUCCCAGGGCUUAACCUUGGAAUUGCAUUUGAUACUGGGUGGCUAGAGUACAGAAGAGGGAAGUGGAAUUUCCGGUGUAGCGGUGAAAUGCGUAGAUAUCGGAAGGAACAUCAGUGGCGAAGGCGACUUCCUGGUCUGUAACUGACACUGAGGCACGAAAGCGUGGGGAGCAAACAGGAUUAGAUACCCCCGUAGUCCCUGUCUCUUAUAC
rnacentral:rRNA from 1 species